UAUUACUCUGUCAAAUUACAUACAUAGCCUUACUUCUUCAGCAUUGGAGAGGCAUAGGCUGCGUUUUGGGGGGGGGGGGGGGGGGCCUUUUUUGCUCCCCCGCUUAUAAGCACCUCAACCGUUUCCGUUUGGUAAACCAGCUUCUGGCCGACUUUUUCAAGAAGCCACCGCUUCUUUGGUCGAAAAGCGAAAGCCGCCAACCCCUUGCUUUUAGAAGCGGGCAACGAUUUAUUUUUCUCACUGUAGCGGUAUAUACUGUAGUUUAAUGAAAUUUUUGAAAUACCGGGAUGUAUUAUCCUCUCUUCCUUUCAGCAAUUACACAAUGCCAUGAAACCCUUCUCUUCCGUGUUCAAAGUCGAAGUGAGAGAGCUGCACCGCAGUGAACACAAACGCACAAGCCAUCUCAUCCGUGUUCGAAAUCGAAGCCUCAAUCCUUGAUUGCCCCAGCUACUUGGCAAUUUGAUUCACGGUGAGAUGGGAUGAAAAUUCAACCAUACCUCGUCCAGAGAGAGUUUCAUCUUGGAAAAUAGAGCCUACUCUCUGCACUAAAUCCUCUUCCCAUGCCACUACCAAAGAGGCCGCGCCCAAACAUGGUUCCCUCUUCUCCAGACUCUUCGGUUCUCACAAGGGAAGUAGGAUCAUCUAAAGUAACGGUAGACCCUGUACUACAAGGAUGUGGGUAUUCAAGGGUCUUGCAAGGUCAAGAAUUCUCGACCUUGCGAGGCAAUUUUGUGGAGAGUGAGUCUGAUACAGCUGAAAAGUCUACUGCAUGGCCAGCUUCGGUUGAUGAUGAGAGGAUUGAUGCAGUGUCUGGUUCAAGAAGAUUUGGUUCCAGUGCAGAUAACUGGAUGCCCUCAGGGAGACAUGAGCCAACCUACACAGAUUUGCUAUCAGGCUUUGGGACUAAUGGUGACGCGUCACAUGGUAUCUGUCAGCCCUUUGUUGAUCAAGCAGUAGCAUCUGCUAAUUCAAUGAGAAAGCAUUCACUGGAUCAGGAAGGCAAGUUUAACUUGAAUUCAUGGUCCAUGUUACCCUCAUCGCUGUCACUUAGUUUGGACUCUAAUAAGAAGGUUCCUAUUGUAAUGCAUCUUACCAAGCCCAACAGAAUGUUAGAUAUAGUGGAUUGAAUGAUCAUUCUGUUAACCAUGUUCAUAGAGUUGAGCAACCUCAAGGAAAUUGGAUGAUGCCUCCACCACCCCCAUCUCAUUUUGAGAGUCAAGCGAAUGCACGGGAAGUCAUGCCAAAGCAUAUGUCACUACUGAAACAUGAGCCUGUUAAACCUAAAGAUGGAAGCUGCAAGCUCUUUGGCAUUCCCCUCAUAACACCAGAAACUUCAUCAUAGAGAACUGGACUGAAUAAAUCAGCUCGUCAUAACCAAGCACUUACCUUGGAGUCUGACCAGAAGUUGGAAAAGUCAAGGGGACCAAAAUCAGUGGAUAAUUUAUUAGCUGUUAAUGAGUCGGAUAAACAAACUUCUCAGCAGCAUGCCAGAGAUGUUCAGGGUAAAGCACAAGGCUCUUCAACUAGGAGUUGCACAAAGAUUUGUGUUCUUUCCAAUUUUGGACCUGAAACUGUUGAGGAUGCUAGCUAAUGAAGGUGCUGCAGUGUUGUGUUCCUUGCAAUCUCUGACCUGAAACUGUUGAGGAAGCUAGCUAAUGAAGGUGCUACAAUGUUGGGGUUGCCUUGACUAGCUAAUGAAGGUGCUACAAUGUUGGGGUUACAUUUUGUCCGCAGUGAAGAAAGAGAAGGUGAUGGCCGGGUCAAGCGGUGGGAUAGAGAUGGAUGUUGAUGUAGAAGAAGAAUAUCAUGGUCAUGGUGCAUAAGAAAUGGAAACAAUAAGAAAUAACAUUACUCUAAGUUUGAUGAGUGUGCGUAAUAACAUGAACAUUUGAAUAUGUUAUGAUAUUUUUUGUGGUUACUUGAUGCUUA